UGCACCUCCAUCUCGCCGCCGCCUCCUGCCACGCCUUGCCCCUCCCCGCGCCGUCGCCUCCUGCCACGCCUUGCCCCUCCCCGCGCCGUGGCGUCCUGCCACGCCCAGCCCGGCGCCGCCGUGCGCCGCCGCCUCCUACCUCGUCGGCGCGCCUACUCUUACCCCAAGUGUCCCACACCCGCGGCUUCCCACCGCCGGCAACAAUCAACGAUGCGGCCGUUGAUGGCUCCCCCUGCCUGCCACUGCCGGGAUUCCUCCCCGUUGCUUCCACCUCAACAAUGGUUCCCCCAACCCCGCCGGCUUCGCCAGCAGCCACUCCUUCAUCCACACAAAUCAUAGGAGACAACUGCAGGGGCGAUCCUACGAGCAAGGCCUCGACGGCGCUGGCGGUGGAAGUACGCGGGUGUGGGGGCGCUUGGAAGGUCGCGGUUGAGGCAUGAGGACAGCAGCAGCGGCAAUCAAAAUCUUCAUGAAGUUUUUCCGCUUACCCUUCUCCGUUUUCAGUGUCCAGGAAAAUUUCUUGAGAUGACGGAAACGAAUUUCCCUCUCAAGAAAAGGUGGAAUACGAAUUGGAUGGAAAGCUAGAGCUGGAGCAGGUAGAGCAUGGUGGAGGGUCUGCUUCUACCUCUCUGGCCUCUCGACCGGAUCAUAUAUGUUUUGCGGCUCCGCGGCUCCAUUAAUGGCAGUAGUGCGCUUGUGCCAUCCAUGUCUGAUUCGUGCAGCCAUCAUCUGUAGCAUUUGUUGGAGCCAUCAUCCAAAACAGUUUCACUGAUUCUCAGGUAAGCAACGUGAUUUUUCCAUGUGUUGACUCAAUCUGGAAAAGUCAAGCUUACAAAUGCUUUAAGGGAUGGUUGAUGGAAUUGAAUCACAGGAGUAUUGGUUGUCCAGACCUUUUUAGGGACCUUCUAAGAGUUAGAUUUGACAUGAAAUCAAUUGUUUUGUACAUUGUACUGUCAUUGCUAGAAUUGUUGAUCUUGAGCUGCAUCCUCCACAAUAGUGGCUUCAAAUAUUGGUCAUAACUAUUGGCAAUUAAUGGUGAAUCCCAGUCCAUCAGGGCUCACAUCGUCGCCAACCCCAAUUGCGCGUGUGGGGCGAAGGCAAGCGCGGACGGACUGAUCGCAACCCGAUGCUGCGCACCACCAUCUCCAACAUCCUCGCCGUCAGGGCCAGCGGCGCUCCGAGCAGAACAAAAAACCAGAGGAGCUUCGUCUCAAGCAAUGUGGGCACGCCUCAAACUCAAAGUCUGGCCGCCGUGUGGGAGAGCGGCAUCAUCCAUGUACGUCUCUUCCAAGAAGGGCACGGCCUUGGAGGAGCACAAUGAUGGAAUAGUCGACGCCGGCUCCUGCGGCAUGAGCCAGGAAAGGGGCAGGAGACGGGCAUGGCAGAGGCGCGCACUAGACAUGCAGAUCAUGGAUACGGGUACAACGCUGUAUUUCCCUCGGGAUGCUAUGAUCCUUUUCUGGGUGGGAUGCAGUGGUCGCACGACCCUUUCAUGUACUGCGGCUGCGGUGGGCGGUGGCAUGGCUUACGCUUACAUUACCUGAUGGAUCAUGCACACCAUCGACGCCAUCGGCAGCAUGACAGUACCACCACCAUGGCACAACGGCAGAUUGUAUGGCUGCGACGACAGCAACUGGAGGCGCACAAAUAGUAAGCUUCAGAGCUUCAGGAUGAGGUGUGGCGAAGGCAGAUUACAGGUGGCGUUAGUUUUGACACGGGGUACAAACUAGCUGGUGCUCAAACACCCAAUGCAGAGUUUUGCAUGCGUAUGAGAGUAUGAGGAUAAAAGUGUUGUAUAUGGUCAGUCGAGGAUAAAAGUCUAUUUAUCAACUUGGUUAAUCUGGUUGUAGUCAAGAGGAAAUCUAGGGGGUGCUUCCUUCACUUCAGUAUUUGCCAUUGAUAUUGGCAGUUCUCUAUAGUACUCUGUUUGUAUUACUUUUACCUUUUUUCCUCCAUGUUUGAGUACUUGCAUUGCUAUUGCUUCUGACUUUAUUCUAUGAUGCAUGCUAUUGACGACAGCGCCUCAAUGUGAACGUUUCAAUCAUUUGAUAAACGUUCUGGAACCUGUGGCCAAUACUUCUUAUUGGAUUUUAGGUUCCGUCACCCAUAUACCGUCAGGUACUAUAACAAGGUUAUUGUUAAUAUCAUCAUUAAUUCUGGCUGCCCAUCUAAAAGUUAACCUUUCCUGACCUUACACUUGCACGCAACUCUAUCAUUAUUGCUUACAAGGGGCGGCUUAGUGAUUCAAUCUCUGACUAUAAGGCAGCUUAGUGAUUGUCAUGUUUGUUUUGCACAAAUCAAAAGAAAAUUGUUUUGGUACUUGAAACUGUUUGAGUGGUAAAAUAUUUUUUAGCCUUUUAAGCAUAAAUUUAUUUAUUUGUACCCGUUGCAACGCACGGGCCUUUUUUCUAGUUUCUAGUCUCUCCCUAAUAAUAAAGCACGGAUCAGGUAUCCGGGUUCACCGUCGUGGCAGUUUUGCUAAACCCCCCUCAAGUUUCUGGUAAUUAACCCGCGCUCUAGAUUUAAGUUAGUAGUAAUAAGUAAAAAAACGAUUCGUUCUCACCCGAACGGACGGACGCAACGCCCGUCUCCGCCUGCCCCAAUCCCGACUCCAGGCCGUCGUCCCCAACACACCAUGAGGACGAAGAUGGCGGCGACGCUGGUCCGGGCCUCCGGGGGGAUCGGACCUCCUACGCCUGCCCGAUCCUCCUACUUCUCCUCGCACUGCUCCUUGCUGUCCCCGCUCGCGGCCAUCUCCAACGCCUCCUCCCACGCCUACGCCUUCGCGGGCCGUCAGCCGGUGCCCGCCCCGGAUCCCACCUUCUUCGACGAUGUCAUCGACGCCAUCGUCGACAAGUACGGCUGGGACCCCGACGCAGAGGUCCGGGUUUGGCCGCUCGACGCCGAGGGCACGCUCGUCGACGCCGUGCAGUGCUACGAGUUCCCCGCCCGCAUGGGGCCCCGCAGUCGCGCUGGCGCGGGCCUCCGACGGGGCCGUCGAUUGGAGCCGCCCCGACGCCCCCGCGGUGGAGGAGGUGGUCGGGCCUGACGGGGUCGACUUCGUGACCGGCGAUGGCGACCUGGCAUUCGGCUCCGGCGUUAGGGUCCGUGACAUGGUAGGGCCGUUCGAGCUGGUGGUCUGCGAUGGCACUGGCAGGGGCCGCGCAGAGCUCCAGUUGCCGUCGGUGAGUGCUGUUUGACUUUUAUCUUUGUUGCUUUAGUUUUUUUGCUUCUGCUUGCUUGCUUGCUAUGCUCUUGAAGUUGUGUGGCCUGUAAGAUGAAGCAGUUACUACAAUUGGUGAAUGGUCUAGCUGCUGCUUAUCCCUUUUCUGUUUCUGACUUUGAAUUGAUUGCAUUUGUUGUAGUGUCUGCACCACCGCCCGUUGAUUAGAAUGCAUGUUCCGGCAGUCCACGCAUCGAUCACUGGCAAAUUAAAAAGGCAUGAACGCACUAAACAGAAAUUCUGUGUAGAUGAUUCUUGUAUAUGGCAGUGGCACACGCGCUGGUUGAUGAAGCCGCUGGGCCAGAAGGCCCUCUCAUUGCCAUGCUAAUGAGUAUCACGAUGAACAUGGCCCCCACCUCAAUGCCUCCCUGUCGGCGGUGAGGUCUAGCCGGAUCUGUACAACCCGCAAUAUUAGUAAAGAAAAAGAAUAGCUUGAUUGUUCUAUGACUCUGUCGUGGAUAGGUAAUUUGCAUCAGAGGUCUAUAGGAUCUCCGCCAUUAGUUUUCCAUUAGAAAAUUGAGUUACUAAAUUAAGGAAGAUGUCCAAAGAGAGGUAAUGGUUGGCAUGAUAUGCAUCAGAAGAUCCUCAUCACUGAAGUAGUACUCCACCAGUCCACCUACAGUUUUGGAACAUAUAAAUACGGCAUCAAAGUGCUACCUGGCACCAAAUAAAGAGUUCAGGUCAGGGUGUUAUACUGCAGCUAAGUAGUAUAGUCUGAAUUUCUAACUUUGAGGAGGAUUUCAGUGUUUCUAAAGAAAGGGACAAGGAUCAGGGCUAUAAAAUUGUUGAAAGACUCAGAGACAUGUACCAUGAAUUGGGUAUAUUCCGCAAGCUGCGGCACACAUGGUCUGCCUUCGUGUCGUCCUACCUGCUUCAGGGCCCUCUACUUCUUCCCCCAAGAUUGCCAUUAUGAUUAACAAAUCUGACGAGAGCAAUUUAAUUGGUGACACAUCAUAUUUAUUCUGCAACUGCAUGUGAAUUCUCAUCUUGCGCCUACCUCUUUUGCUUACCAGUGAAGAUGGAGAGCUUUAGGCAAAAAAAGAAAGAAAAAAACUAGCACAUGAUCUAUGGAGAAUAAUUUUGACAGCAACUCCAACUAUGCAAUGGAGUACACUUGAUGCGAUCAAUUCUGGUGUGUGUGUGUGUGUGUGAUGCAAUGACGUAUGAAUAACGACAGAAAAAUAUGCCUGAGGAGUAUGGGUAUGUAGUAACAUUUCUCUGUUAUUUUCGGAACAACUUGGAAUAUCUUAUUGGUAGUUUAUAUACAAAGUCAUUUUGAUAAUUAUCAUGCUGCAAACCUACAUAGUUUUCUAUAUUAAUCAUGUCAUGCUAAAAUAUAAAAGUUAUAGCUUCAAUAAAUUGAUAAAAUACAGAUUUGGGCUUUACAUAUUUAUUGAAUAUAUAUUUACAUAUGAAUACGUCGUUACGGUCGGACUCCAGCGAGCAGCAGUGGUUGUUAUACCCCACCAGGUAACUUGCUACUGUUGGUGAAACUCUCUUGUGCAGAAACGCUGAUCUUGAAAUCUUGAUCCUACUUAUAGGCCGUAUUGCAAGCAAUGUACUCAUGUUUUACUGAACAUGUAGGUAACAUGAAAUUUUGAUCUUCUCCCAUCACUGAAAGUUGUGUUUUAAACUUGCAAAAGCAUUGCUAAGCCUAUUCAAUCAUUUCUAUUUUACCCUAGAUUUCACUCCAUACCAUAAUUGAGAUACAAAUGGGCGUUACUGAUGUCGAGGAGAAGAGUUAGAAGCUCUUGGAUUGAGAAUCUGAGAUUUAUAUAGGUUCAGUAGAACAAAAAGUUUCGGAUUCACUACUCCAGAUACAACGAUGCGGUUGCACAGAGGAGUAUAAGGAUUUCUUCAUCGGGCCAGUCCACGUGGAAGAUGUCGCGUUAGCCCAUAUCACGUUGUUUGAAAACCCGGCUGCAUCCGGGAGGCACCUCUGUGUGGAGCCCAUAUGUCACUUGAGCAAUUUCGGGUCCCAAGUCGCGGAGCUCUACCCCGACUACGAAGUCCCGAAAUUACCUGAGGACACGCAGCCUGGGCUGGUGAGGGUGGAGGUGGUGCCGAAGAAGCUGAUGGCACUGGGCCUGCAUUUCACUCCUUUGGAAAAGAUCAUCAAGGAUGCGGUGGAGAGCCUUCGGAGAAGAGGAUGCAUCGCCUGAUGGCUGGAUUAUUAGCUGUACCAUAUUCCUUCCCUUCUGUUGUAGGGUCAUGAUCAACCCUUGCUCCAGAGAUAUGUUGUGCCCAGCCCAGUGCUAGACCUUAUAGUUGCCUGUACGAUUGUGCAAUAACGGCUGGUUGAUCUACUGGUACACCUGUCUGUUCUUGCUAGAUACUUGCGGCUCUUAAAUUGUUCAUUGCCAUUCUUCA